ensembl:lncRNA
GUUUGGUUUACUUUUCGCAUCGGCCUGUGUCAAUCGAGGUUGAGUUUAGUGAGGGUUGAAAGUUUUCGAUCUAGAUUGCAGAUCACUAUUGUCACUUUAUACAAACUGAAAGUAUGCGUUGUUGCGUGUUUGUUUUUGUGGGCUUUUGACUGAACAGCCCAGACAAAUAUUGCUACCAACAUGGCACUUCGAAACAGACCACCGCAGCGUUAGAUGACUGACAAGAUCUAUGGGGGGGCCCCCUUUGGGCCCCCCCAUACCAACUUAGUCUUCAAAGGAAUCUAGUGCCAUGGGACUCCAGUGUCUUCAAAACAUCCUCGGAAUACAUGUGUAUGAAUGGUCCACCGAAGGGUUGAUCUGGAAGCCACCACGGUCCACGCAGUAAUCUGCUGCGUGGGCCGUAGUGGCUUCCAGAGCCAUCUUUCGGUCUUGGUCAGGAUUUGUUACAGUUGCCCUUCAAUGUAGCAGGCUAUGGGUUUCUGAAGAAGCCUGCUUUACGUAGCAUUGGAGUACAAAUAUUGUGCAAAAUGCUCAUGUAAUUGAACUAGCACUAGUAACCUGUAGAUUAGCUUAGUUUAACGUCAUUCCGUGCUGUCUGUCAAAUGUGUGGCUUACUUUAAGUCCACAAGGCCCUCUGGUAAACCACGUUGGAACACCCCUGGACAAGAUGAUUAGUCACUGGGUGUGUGCUAAAGUUUUGUUCCAUUUUUCACUAGUUGGUUAAGGUUUGGUAGAAUUGUUUGGAUGCUAGCGACGUGAUGGCGUAUGUACAAGAGCCUACCGUGGCCAGGCCACAGUUGCGACGGCCACGGCCAGAUGGCCUAGUGUGAGUGCGACCUUGAUUGCAUUUGUAUACGGUUUACCAUUGGAUGUUUAUGCAAUUUGGCUUAAUUCAUCCGCAGUAAAGCUGCAUUUGACUAUUCCAGGGUCGUUUUGUACAGGCUUUCAAUUGACCAUGUUGACUAGUUUGUGGGAAGUUUUUUUUUUUUUUUUCCUUGCUUUCAAUUCUACGGUUGUGACCACUUAUGCAACUGGGCUGUGAACCUUGCAAUUCUAGUUGCAUAUUUGUACACGCAAGCUUGUCCAUUUCUAUCGCCAUCACUAACACUAGCUUCAGCAUUUCCUUGUAGGCCAUUAGCUGACUUGUGUAUUGGAGCGAUGAUUUGGGUAUUUUAAGAUGCUUGAAAACCUAAAAUAAAGCAAAAUGCAUGUCUGGUGUGCAAGAGCCAAUUUGUUGGCUUGCAGUAGUCGAGGAGUUGCCGUAGGUCGUAAGCCAUCUGGAGGUUGUGGCAAUGGAGGCUUGUGGUAGAUCUGCCAUCCAAGAAAGGGGGACUUGACUGGUGAGUCUACUGGAUUAAUCAGUAGCGGUACUUUGCCCAACAGAUUUGAUGGCAUGACUACAGGGUGACAAAGACAAUUAUUCCCUGCCUAUCAAAAGAGACUUCUAAAACAUAUCUGCUAGAACAGUUCCUAUACUUUUUGUAUAAUUUGGUCAUGCUGCAAAUUUAUUUUUUUGUAGUUGCUCCAUAUUUAGUUCUUUGACAGCCUUACCUGCUAGAAAAGUCUAUUCAAAUCAGCUAAAUAUAAUGAACUAAAUUAAUAGCCAUGAAAUGUUGUCACUCAUACUAAUGGCAAAUACCCUCUUUCAGUUGGUGGUUCAACACUGAUGUCUCUCUAGGCUUGAGGGAGAGCUCACAAGUAAAUUACACGAAUGUCCUGGUUAAUACAAUAAACAAGACAUUUCAUGGUACCAUUUUUGAACUGUUUGUGGAUAGUGCAUUAAAUCCAUAUGCUUGAAACUUUUCAAUAAUGCAUAUCAACGAAACAAUGGAAUGAAAUAAAUAGUUCAAGCAAUUUGUGGGACUUGGCUGCUUUUACAUUAUUACUCAUUUUGGGGGUUAUUUCAGUCUCUCCAACCUGCAGGU